rnacentral:rRNA from 1 species
UACGAAGGGUGCAAGCGUUAUUCGGAAUUACUGGGCGUAAAGCGCGCGUAGGUGGUUCAGUAAGUUGGAAGUGAAAUCCCCGGGCUCAACCUGGGAACUGCUUUCAAAACUGCUGAGCUAGAGUACGGUAGAGGGUGGUGGAAUUUCCUGUGUAGCGGUGAAAUGCGUAGAUAUAGGAAGGAACACCAGUGGCGAAGGCGACCACCUGGACUGAUACUGACACUGAGGUGCGAAAGCGUGGGGAGCAAACAGG